ACAGUCACACAUUAGAUACCCGGGUAGUCCCAGCCGUAAACUAUGCGCGUUAGGUGUAUCGGUGACCACGAGUUACCGAGGUGCCGAAGGGAAACCGUGAAACGUGCCGCCUGGGAAGUACGGUCGCAAGGCUGAAACUUAAAGGAAUUGGCGGGGAGCACCACAACAGGUGGAGCCUGCGGUUUAAUUGGACUCAACGCCGGGAAGCUCACCGGAUAGGACAGCAGAAUGAUUGCCGGGCUGAAGACCCUGCAUGACUAGCUG
rnacentral:rRNA from 1 species